rnacentral:rRNA from 1 species
CCUACGGGAGGCAGCAGUGGGGAAUAUUGGACAAUGGGCGAAAGCCUGAUCCAGCCAUGCCGCGUGUGUGAAGAAGGUCUUCGGAUUGUAAAGCACUUUAAGUUGGGAGGAAGGGCAGUAAGCGAAUACCUUGCUGUUUUGACGUUACCGACAGAAUAAGCACCGGCUAACUCUGUGCCAGCAGCCGCGGUAAUACAGAGGGUGCAAGCGUUAAUCGGAAUUACUGGGCGUAAAGCGCGCGUAGGUGGUUUGUUAAGUUGAAUGUGAAAUCCCCGGGCUCAACCUGGGAACUGCAUCCAAAACUGGCAAGCUAGAGUAGGGCAGAGGGUGGUGGAAUUUCCUGUGUAGCGGUGAAAUGCGUAGAUAUAGGAAGGAACACCAGUGGCGAAGGCGACCACCUGGGCUCAUACUGACACUGAGGUGCGAAAGCGUUGGGGAGCAAACAGGAUUAGAUACCCUGGUAGUCCCACGACCGUAACGACUAGUCACUACGCGUGUAGACUGNGCUUAGUGUCGCNGCUACGCAUAGUUAG